rnacentral:rRNA from 1 species
GGGGGGGGGGGGGGGGGGGGGGGGGGCGGGGGGGUCGGGCGGGCGGGCGGGGCGCGUGGGGCGUGGGGGUUGGCGGCGGCGGGGUGAGUGACGAGUGGAUAACCUACGUAUACGACUGCGGUUACUUCGGGCAACCGGCGCUGAUACCGGAUAAUAUAUUCAACCGCGUGGUUCAGUGGUGAUAGACGGUUUUGAUGUCCCGUAUAGACGGAUCAGCGCGGCAUUAGCUAGUUGGUAAGGUAACGGCUUCCCAAGGCAACGAUGCGUAGCCGACCUGAGAGGGUGAUCGGCCACACUGGAACUGAGACACGGUCCAGACUCCUACGGGAGGCAGCAGUAGGGAAGCUUCCGCAAUGGGCGAAAGCUUGACGGAGCAACGCCGCGUGAGUGAUGAAGGUCUUCGGAUCGUAAAACGCUGUUAGUAGGGAAGAACAAAUGUGUAAGUAACUAUGCACGUCUUGACGGUACCUAAUCAGAAAGCCACGGAUAACUACGUG